GGUCCCCAGCAUAAAAAGUAAAGUAUGUCAUGAUAUUAUAGGAAAAGAAUGGCGACAAGAAAGAAAUAACUUAUAGCAGUGGAAUGAAGACACCCCAGUGAUGGUAACAAACAAAGUGCAGAUACACAGAGAUAGCCCAAGUGAAAAUAUUAUUUUUUUUUUUCUGUUUAUUUAACUGGUAACAAAAUCAAUUUCCAUCUUUUCAGUUACAUAGUUAUUGCAGUCCCCAAAAGACGACCAAAUGACAGAAUCUGGACUCUCCCUCAAUAAUAAUUCUACGACAAAAU
rnacentral:lncRNA from 1 species